AUGCAAGCCGAGGGGUAUAGUUCUUCGGAGCUAGAGACCGGCGCACGGGUGCGUAACGCGUAUGCAAUCUACCUUUUACAGAGGGAUAGCCCAGAGAAAUUUGGAUUAAUACCUCAUAGCAUAGCAGUAUCGCAUGAUACCACUAUUAAAGUUCCAACGGUAAAAGAUGAGCAUGCGUCCCAUUAGCUAGAUGGUAAGGUAACGGCUUACCAUGGCUACGAUGGGUAGGGGUCCUGAGAGGGAGAUCCCCCACACUGGUACUGAGACACGGACCAGACUCCUACGGGAGGCAGCAGUGAGGAAUAUUGGUCAAUGGGCGCAAGCCUGAACCAGCCAUGCCGCGUGCAGGAAGACGGUCCUAUGGAUUGUAAACUGCUUUUGCACAGGAAGAAACACUCCCUCGUGAGGGAGCUUGACGGUACUGUGAGAAUAAGGAUCGGCUAACUCCGUGCCAGCAGCCGCGGUAAUACGGAGGAUCCAAGCGUUAUCCGGAAUCAUUGGGUUUAAAGGGUCCGUAGGCGGUUUAGUAAGUCAGUGGUGAAAGCCCAUCGCUCAACGGUGGAACGGCCAUUGAUACUGCUAGACUUGAAUUAUAAGGAAGUAACUAGAAUAUGUAGUGUAGCGGUGAAAUGCUUAGAGAUUACAUGGAAUACCAAUUGCGAAGGCAGGUUACUACUUAUGGAUUGACGCUGAUGGACGAAAGCGUGGGUAGCGAACAGGAUUAGAUACCCUGGUAGUCCACGCCGUAAACGAUGGAUACUAGCUGUUGGGGGCAACUUCAGUGGCUAAGCGAAAGUGAUAAGUAUCCCACCUGGGGAGUACGUUCGCAAGAAUGAAACUCAAAGGAAUUGACGGGGGCCCGCACAAGCGGUGGAGCAUGUGGUUUAAUUCGAUGAUACGCGAGGAACCUUA
rnacentral:rRNA from 1 species